rnacentral:rRNA from 1 species
AAACCAGCACCUCAAGUGGUCAGGAGGAUUAUUGGGCCUAAAGCAUCCGUAGCCUGCUCUGUAAGUUUCCGGUUAAAUCCAUUAGCUCAACUAAUGGCCUGCCGAAAAUACUGUAGAGCUAGGAAGUGGGAGAGGUAGACGGUACUCGGUAGGAAGGGGUAAAAUCCUUUGAUCUAUUGAUGACCACCUGUGGCGAAGGCGGUCUACCAGAACACGUUCGACGGUGAGGGAUGAAAGCUGGGGGAGCAAACCGGAUUAGAAACCCGAGUAGUCC